UACAGAGGGUGCAAGCGUUGUUCGGAAUUACUGGGCGUAAAGCGCGUGUAGGCGGCUUUGCAAGUCGGGUGUGAAAGCCCUCGGCUCAACCGAGGAAGUGCGCCCGAAACUGCAGAGCUUGAGUACCGGAGAGGAUGGCGGAAUUCCCCAAGUAGAGGUGAAAUUCGUAGAUAUGGGGAGGAACACCGGUGGCGAAGGCGGCCAUCUGGACGGAUACUGACGCUGAGACGCGAAAAGCGUGGGGAGCAAACAGG
rnacentral:rRNA from 1 species